UUAAAAUACUUAAUGGUUUCACGAAUGUAGACAGAUCAACAUUGUUUAUGAUCGAUGACACUUUGCGCACGAGGAACAAUGGCGUAAAACUCAGAUGUAGACAAGUAAAUUCAGACUGCACCAAAUUUUUCUUCACCAACGUUGUAGUGCGAGAAUGGAAUAAGCUCCCAUCAUCAGUGGUCCAGUGUAACACGAUUGACUCCUUCAAAAAUAAGCUCGACCGUCACUUCCUUCAACUUAAUAUCAACUAGAGUAGAAAUGCAACGUUUUGGAGUCUUCUGAUUAAUGUAAAAUCGCUUAGGUUUAAGGACAGACCACCAAGUCUGGACCAUGGGCCACUCUGUCUUCUGCCCGAUGCUCAUCCAAUCUCAUCACUGCCAAGUCUUCCUGUAUACACCUUCUCCACAUUUUCCUAGGUCUACCAACUGGUCUCCUUCCUUCUACCUCCAAUCUCUCCACAGCUCCCAGCACUGUAUCCUCCCCUGCUCUCUUUCUCCUCCAUUCUACUUUGUCAUCUGCCCGAUGCUCAUCCAAUCCCAUCAGUGCCAAGUCUUCCUGUAUACACCUUCUCCAUGUUUUCCUAGGUCUACCAACUGGUCUCCUUUCUUCUACCUCCAAUCUCUCCACAACUCCCAGCACUGUAUCCUCCCCUGCUCUCUUUCUCCUCCAUUCUACUUUGUCAUCUGCCCGAUGCUCAUCCAAUCCCAUCAAUGCCAAGUCUUCCUGUAUACACCUCCACGUUUUCCUAGGUCUACCAACUGGUCUUUUAUACCUCUUAAUUAAUGUUUGUGAGUUUAGAGAUCAAAGAAUAGUCGCCUUUCCUAGGUCUACCAACUGGUCUCCUUCCUUCUACCUCCAAUCUCUCCAAAACUCCAAGCACUGUAUCCUCCCCUGCUCUCUUUACAUGUCCAAACCAUCAGAGGCUUUCCCUUCAGAGCACUGUUUCCUGUUAAAUGAGCUUAUAAUAUUCACUUAUACCACUUCUAAUAACACCCUAUUCAUGUUAAUUAGUCUUUUGACCUAUAAGUACACCUGAGAAAGGGGAAUUUAGGUGAAUCACGCCGUCCAACUUCCUUAUGCAAGAGUUUAUGGUUCCUUCAUCUUUUAGCCCUUCUGUUGGUUACGUCUGGACUCCUUUCUUUUCCUGUAUUUUCCUUUGUUAUAGUUGUUUUCCAUCCUGCAUUUUCCUUUUUUCUAUAUUUUUCUUCUUUAUAUUUGUUUUCCAUAGCUGCAGUUUCCUUCCUUUACUAUGUUUCCCUUCCCUUUCCUGUAUUUUCCUUUUUUUUAUAUUUUUCUUUAUAUUUGUUUUCCAUAGCUGCAGUUUCCUUCCUUUUACAAUAUUUUCCUUCCUCUUACUAUAUUUUCCCUCCUUUCACUGUAUUUUCCUUUUCUAUACUUUAAUCCUUUAGUUCUUUCAAGAGGGAGUACUUUUUCUUCCACUUUAUUCAGUUCUUGUUUACUUUCAUUGUUCUUGGUUUUCCUCUCCUAUUCCAAAUUAAAAAUACUACUACUACUACUACCACCACCAUACUAACAUUAACACUAAUAAAACCAAGUAGAACAGUGGUUCUUAACCUGGGUUCGGCGAAGAUCCUCCCGAAAGAUAUUGCAAUUUUGCAAUUGAAUUUUAAGCAAAUUUUCUUUAAUAGUUUUAUGGAUUAAAAUCGAAUACAUUCUUUGUAUUAUCUAAAAUCAAUAUACUCUUGAACUUUGAAGGAAUUUUUCUUGCACUUGUAUGUCUUUUUUUUUCUUUUUUUUUUUCUUCUUCUUUAUACUUAAGGGGUUUGGCUACUGUGCGGAGGUUUUCGUUUGGGUUCGGCGCCUCUGAAAAGGUUAAGAACCACUGAACUAGAACUCAUUCAGCUCUUGGCUUUUCUUUCCCAUAAAAUAUAAAUACUACUAUUACUACUACUACUACCACUACUUCUAUUCCUCUUCCUUCUACUGCUACCACUACCACUACUACUAUAACUAUUUCUAUUCCUCUCCUUCUAUCACUACUAAUACUGCUACUACUACUACUAAUAAUAAUAAUAAACACUAACAAUAAGAAAGUCAACUAGAACAACACCCCACACCCUCCCCAAGGAUAAUAAACACCAGUACAAUGUCAUCAAAUUAUUGGUAUAUUCUAUGUGAAGAAUUAAGAUACACAGGUAAGGUAUGUUUGCUUAGUAGUAGUUUGUAGGUCAGUCUGCCGCAGCCUAACACAAGGGCCCGAUGCUGCUGCUGCCACCCCUGCCUCCGCCUUUGUAUAAUGUGUCUGUCUGUGUGGAGUUGAAAAAUAAAGUUGAAAUACAGUCAGAUGUUCGUUGAGUGACUGCAAUAGUUUGUGAAUUCUGGGGUUGAAAAUAAAGUUGAAAUACAGUCCGGCGUUCGAUUUUUACAAGCGACUGGGAUAGUUUGUGAAUUCUGGGGUUGAAAAUAAAGUUGAAAUACAGUCUGGUGUUCGUUGAGUUUCGUACGAUUUUUACAGGUGAUUGGGAUAGUUUGUGAAUUGACGGUUUUUACUUUCCCGACAUGUAGAUCUCUUUAUUUUGUGAAUUGACGGUUUUUACUUUCCCGACAUGUAGAUCUCUUUAUUAUCUUUAUUGCUGUAUUUCUUGGUGGCAUAUACGAUGGGUUAAGUCCGGAAUUAGUUUUGGAUGAGUAUAACGUAGACGGUUUUUACUUAUAUGGUUAAGUCCGGAAUUAGUUAAGUUUCAGACUAGUAUAACAUAGACGGUUUUUACUUAUUCCAACCUCUAGAUCUCUUUAUUAUUACUAUCUUUAUUUCUUGGUGGCAUAUACGAUGGGUUAAGUCUGGUAUUAGUUAAGUUUCAGACUGGUAUCAUGUAGACGAUUUUAACUCUUUCCAAUGUGUAGAUUUCUUGUCGUAUGGAAGAGAUUAGAAUAGUCUGUUUGGGGUCAAAAGAUAAAGUUAAAUGAAGUCUGGUAUUACUUAAGGUUCGGACUAGUAUCACAUAGACGGUUUCUACUCUUUACGACAUCUAGAUUUCUUGUGUGUAUAUCUGGUGAUGUAUAGAAUAGAUUCAAAUAGUCCUAUGUUGGUCAAGUCUCGAACCAGUAUCCCAUUGACAAUUUUUACUCUUACCAACACCUAGGUCUCUUUGUGUGGUUUAUGAUUAACUUUGGCAGUAAGUCAUCCCUCAAAUAGUAUUGUUUCCAAUAGUUCAAUUUUGGUUUUAUGUGGAUUUUUAAAUUUCCCGACAAGCAGGAAAUUUAAAAAUCCUAAAAGAUCUUCCAUAACAAACCGUAUAAAACCGAAACCGAACUAUUUGAGGAACGACUGUAUAUAUAUAACAACAAACUAUUAAUAUCACUUGUAAAAAUCGUCAAUGAAUCCAGUUCUCCAAAUCACCACUAGUUGAACAGUUUUGAAUGGGCGUUACAGACAGACACUCGGACAGACAGAGGCAGCGGGAACAGAGAAACAAUAAUAAUAAUAAAAAUAAUAAUGAUCAAUAUAGUGAAUCAGCAUCAUGGAUAAAAGUUCUGGCCGGGCAGGACAAAAAUAAAGAAAAAAUAUAUAUAUAGUAUAAUAAUAAUAAUAAUAAUAAUAAUAAUGAUAAUAAUAAUAAUAACACAGAAAUCUCACUUGCGGCAACACUAACAUUGCAGUCAAAACACCUCAGAAUAAAAUAAGAAUAAAAAUAUUAAAUAUAAAAAUAAUAAUAAUAAUAGCGUUCAAGAAAAUUAAUUUGUACUACUCAUCGUUUGCGGCACGGAUCGCCGACCACUCGACCGACAGACUAACCCCCCACCCCCUCCCUGCCCCCUUCACCCCCCAUAACCCCCUAUAAUGGAGUCAAACAAUGGGGUAGGUAGGACAGGGGGGGAGGGAAGGGGAGAGGGAGGAGGGGCUGUCAGUCUCGGGUUGUUUAUAUUCUGGAGCGAAAAAAAUAAUUAUACAAGAGAAAUAUAAUCUUGUGGAAAGGAUGAUUAUAAUAUUAUUGUUUAUACAUAGCGGUAGCGUUGGCGGGUUUUCCUGACUUUCCUUUUUUUUUCUUUGUCGUUCUUCCUUUGUCCUUCACUCACUGUGGUCCGUUCCUUCAGCCUUCAUGAGUUUGCGUUGUUGUUUUCAUCUUGUUUUUUGUUGUUCUGUUUGUUCAUCUGUUUUGUUAUUUUUCUGUCAUCCACUUUCUUCUUCCCUCUUUUCUUUAGCUUUUUUUUUUUUUGGUUGCCGGUGUUUUUAUUUUGUUUUCACUUUCUUCCUUGCUCUUUUCUUUAGUCACUCUUUUCUAUUUAUUUUGGCUUCUGUCAUUCAUUUAUUGGGUCUUGGUGUUUAUUUUUUAGCUGUUUUAUAUGUUUUUCUUGAAUUUACCUAUCCUUUCUUUGUUAUAUUCACUAGUAACUGAUCGCUGUUCAAUUAAAGAAACAUUAUCUUGAUCUUUUGGUUAAGUUUAAAUAACAGCUUCCACAACUUUAGUAUUUCAUAACUCGACAAAAGCUUAACAAUGGACUUUUUAUAUAUUUCCUUUGCGUCCUAAUACAACAUUUGAGGAAGAAAUGUUCAACUUCAGUAACAACCAAACAUUCCGAGACGAUUAAUCAUUUCUUGACACUUUCUUUUCUUCAUUAAUUUCCUUUUCUUUCUAAUACAACGUCUGAGGAAGAAACGUUCGGCUCCAGUAACAACAAAUUUUCCGAGACAAUAAUUUCUUGUAACUUUUCAUUUUUUUAAUUUCUUUCCUUUUCUUUCUGUUACAACGUCUGAGGAAGAAAAGUUUGACUCCAGUAACAAACAAACAUUCCGAGACAACUAAUCACUUCUCGGAACUUUUCAUUUUUUUUAAUUUCUUUCCUUUUCUUUCUAUUACAACGUCUGAGGAAGAAAAGUUUGACUCCAGUAACAAACAAACAUUCCGAGACAACUAAUCACUUCUCGGAACUUUCCUCUCGUCACCUUCGCUCGCUUGCUCCCUUCUCCGCCACAUGCAAAAGUAGCAUUUCAAAACAACAUACAAAAAAUAAUAUAAUGAUAGUACAAUGCGUCUCUAAGCCAUCCGUGGUCCUUACAGCUUAACUAACCGACGUGUUUGCAAAAAUCCAAGCACUAAAUAAAGAUACACUGGUUCACAUUCACAAAACAAAAACCUUUCAAGUGUGUUUUUCUUUAAUAUAGAUAUAAUAUAUAAAUCCAUAGAAAAUCUACUUAAGGAUAUAAUUUCAAAAAGGUUAAUAAUAAUAAUAAUAAUAAUAAUAAUAAUAGCAUUUCAUCAUCUACUAGUCAUAUAGCUAAAGAAAUUCCUGCGCUCCUUACUUACACAAGUCAAAUUAUCAUCAUUAUUCUUGUUUUAUUAGUUUAAGUUUUUUCCUCUUUCUGAAACUUCCAAGCGAGAAGCCAUUUUUUUGACACUGCUCCCGGCGGCAACGCUCGCCAGCCACGCCCAACACAUGUACAGAUAUAUUACACAACGGUAGUAGUAGUGGGAGUAAUAGUAUAACAAUAGCAUAGUAGUAGUAGUAGUACGAGUAGUAGUAAUAAUAAUGAUAGUUAAUGAUAAUAAUAAAACUGUUUGUAGUAGUAGCAUAAUUUGUACCGACUAAAUUAACAAGAAAGGUGUAUGUAUUUUUUUAUAUAGUUUUUUGUAGUGUUUUUGUCUUUAUUUACUUACAUACCUCUACACACGAACGCUUCCCCUGCAAACGGUAAAAAAAUAUCGGGAGAUGAUUGAAAAAAAAAAUCGCUUUGACCUUAAAUAUUACGUCAUUAUUCUGUUACACAAACACGAUAAGCUUUUGUUUUUCCCUCUCAGCUUCUCUUUUUUAUACUUGACUUCCCUUAUUUAUUUAUUUAUCUAUUUAAUUUACUAUUACCUAUAAACUAAGCAAGGGAGGACCAGGAGUUCGUCUUCUUAUUUAAACUGAGCAAACAUUUCUUAAGAGUGUGUGUGUGUGUGUGUGUGUAGGUAUUUGUGAAUGUGCGUUUUUUGGGAUGUGUGUGUGUGUGUAUGCGUGUAGGUAUUUGUGCAUGUGCGUUUUUUGGGAUGUGUGUGUGUCUGAAUCUGUCUUUAAGUGUGUGUGUGCGUGUGUGUAAAGCCCACGUCAGCCUCCGCCCCAGACUAAAAAAAAAAAAAAAUCCCGAGCUCAAAGAAACGAACGGGGAACAAACAAACGAAAGCGCGAACAGAAAUAAUAAAUACAAAUAAUAAUAAUAAUGAAGACAACAGUGAUAAAAAUAUAAUAAUCUCGCCGAUCUUGACGCGAAAGGAGAGAAAGAAAGAUAAAAUAAUAAUAGUUAUCUUAAAAUUCAAAAACAGAGAACAACAAAAUAAAUUAACAACUAGAAGGAAAAAGAGAAAAAAAAUGCAUAAUAAAAAGAAAAGCUGGAAAUUAGUUAAAAAAAAAAUAUGGGAAGGAAAUCAAAUAAAACAACAAUGAACGAAGAAAAUAACGGGGGGAGGAGGAGGAAGACAGGGCGAAGAAAAGGAAGAAAAUUGUUUAGAUUUCAAAUUGAUUAACCACUAGACACUUAGAAGAAGACAGGAGGAGGAGGAAGAUGAGAGAGGAAGAAACAGGGAGAAAAGUUUAGAUUUCAAAUAUUUUCAACCACUAAGGAGAAUAGUAAGAAAGGAAGGAAGGAAGGAUGACAAGAGGCGAGAGAAGGAGGAGGAGGACAGAGAGAAAUACAAGAGAAGAUUAGAUACUGAUUUUAGGAAGAAAGAGAGAAAGACAAGGAAAGUUUAGAUUUAAUUAAGAAAGAAGGAAAGAAAGUGGGAGGAGGAGGAGAAAGAAUAGCGAGAGAGGAAGGAAGAAAGAAAGAAAGGCAAGAAUAGUUUAGAUUUCAAAAUGUUCAACCACUAGACACACAAUUUUAUUAAGAAAGAGAGGAAGAGAAAGAACGAGGGAGGAGGAGAAGGAAUAGAGAGAGGAAGGAAGAAAGAAAGGCGAGAAUAGUUUAGAUUUCAAAAUGUUCAACCACUAGACACACGAUUUUAUGACGAGAGAGAAAGAAGGAAAGACAGCGGAAGGAGGAGGAAGAGCAGAAGAGAAGUUUAGAUUCCAAAAUGUUCAACCACUAGACACGAUUUUAUGACGAGAGAGAAAGAAGGAAAGACAGCGGAAGGAGGAGGAAGAGCAGAAGAGAAGUUUAGAUUCCAAAAUGUUCAACCACUAGACACACGAUUUUAGAAAGAAAGAGGAAGAGCGAGAAAGAAGGAGGAAGAGUGGAAGAGAGAGAAAGGCAAAGAAAAGUAUAGAUUCCAAAAUUAUCAACCAUUAAACACACUGAUUUUAUGAAGAGAGAGAAAGAAGGAAAGAGGAAGAGAGAAAAAGAUGAGGAAAAUUCAGAUUCCAAAAUGCAUAACCACUAGACACUGAUUUUAUGAAGAAAGAGAGAAAGAAAGAGGGAGGAGGAAGAGCGGAAGCGAGAGAAAGCGGAGGAAAGUUUAGAUUUCAAAAUGCAUAACUACUAAACACACAAUUAUUGGCCGAAGCCGUAAUUCCUAUUAUUAUUAUUAUUAUUAUUUUUAUCUUCACACUGACGGCUACAACAUCGCUACGAGUACAACAAUAUAUAAAAAACGCUUGUAAAAGGAGACUUGUUUGGUUCUUACUUCUUAAUUAUCUUUCAAUGCAUGUAUGUGUGUGUGUCUUAAUUUACUUACAUAUCCUAUUCAUCUAUCUAUUUACAAAGGGUGUUUUUUCCUCUCAUAUCCUUGGACACCAAUUCACACACGCCCCCCCCAAAAUUGUAUCACUCACAAAUGUUGAAAUAAAAAGUAAAAAUCUAAAUUGCUCGUGAAUUUUAUGAAAAGUCGCGAGAAAAGUUGAAUUUUUCGCUUGGUGUGUGUGUGUGUGUGUAUAUUGUGCUAAUUAUAUACAAAUGAACUUAAAAAAAUAUAUAAUAAUGAUAAACGCAAUUUCCAUUCUGAUUUUAUACCAUCCACUGAGUCAUAUCUGUGUGUGUGUAAGUGUGUGCGCGUGUAUAUGCACAUAGGCAAGGCAGUGUACGCGGUCACCUGGCGCAGAAGCUAAUUAACUAGUCAGGUAGAUAACGAUUCACCUGUUUUGGGCAGUUCACUAGUUCAGGUAAGCACGUCACUUGUGGCUACCUGGAUAUCACCUGUCUGGGGUAAUCAGGUUGGAUGGAGGGGGUCACCUGGGGGGCUAAAUUAGGACAGGUAAUCUAAUGUGGAAAUGGUUUAAAAUGGAUAUGAUUGAUGUCCUUGAUUUCUUUUUCUGUACAGGUAUUUUCUUGCAUUGUAUCGUUAAUUAGAGGUCACCAGGUGUAAUAUAGGUGACUUAAUUAGGGAAGGUAGUUUGUUAGCUAAAUUAAGACAGGUAAUCUAAUGCAGAAAUGGUUUGAAAUUGAUUAUAAGUCCUUGGUUAUCUUUUUUGUACAGGUAUUUUCGUGUUGUAAAGUUAAUUAGAGGUCACCAGGUGUAAUAUUAAAGGUAACAUCAUUAGGAAAGGUAAAUCUAUCAAUAUCAGUCAAAGAAAAUGGUUUGAAAUAGAAAUAAAUGACGUGCUUGAUUUCCUUCUUUGCACAGUUAUUUUCUCGAGCUGAAUCAUUAAUCAGAAGUCACCAGGAGCAAUACUGUAGAUAACGUCGUUAGGGAAGGUAAAUCUAACA